rfam:Canis lupus familiaris chromosome 9, whole genome shotgun sequence.
CCAAGGGUACCCACCUUGAGGCCCAUGGAAGCAUCAGGAAGUCUUCCAGGUGGGAGACAAAACAACCCUGUUUAAUAUUUAAACAGCAGUGUUCCCC